CCUACGGGGUGCAGCAGUGAGGAAUAUUGGUCAAUGGACGAGAGUCUGAACCAGCCAAGUAGCGUGAAGGAUGACUGCCCUAUGGGUUGUAAACUUCUUUUAUAUGGGACUAAAAUGUUCCACGUGUGGGAUUUUGUAUGUCCCAUAUGAAUAAGGAUCGGCUCACUCCGUGCCAGCAGCCGCGGUAAUCAGGAGGAUCCGCGCGUUAUCCGGAUUUAGUGGGUUUAAAGGGAGCGUAGGUGGAUUGUUAAGUCAGUUGUGAAAGUUUGCGGCUCAACCGUAAAAUUGCAGUUGAAACUGGCAGUCUUGAGUACAGUAGAGGUGGGCGGAAUUCGUGGUGUAGCGGUGAAAUGCUUAGAUAUCACGAAGAACUCCGAUUGCGAAGGCAGUUCACUGGACUGCAACUGACACUGAGGCUCGAAAGUGUGGGUAUCAAACAGGAUUAGAUACCCCAGUAGUC
rnacentral:rRNA from 1 species